ensembl:lincRNA
AUGUGCGGCCCUGAGGUGUGGCAGGGAUGUGGCAACGCAGAAGGGAGCCAGGGGAUGGGCUCCCAGCAAUCUGGGGGCCAUGGAGACUGGUUUGAGUACAGGGGGAGUGGGCUAGGGCUAGCCCUGGUGGUAAGAUUCACAGGUGUCAGGCUCCUGGGCUGCAGCUGCUCAGUCACCUCCUGGCACUCAGGUGCAUCAGUUCAUUGUCCUCAUGCCAGUGGUGGGGGCAGCCCUAAUGCACAGGGUCUGAAACAUGCUCAGGUGUACCUGCAGUGUGUGAGAGGAAGGAGGCUGGAGAAGGUGGGCGUGGCCACCUCGCCAGGUGUGGAUCUUGAGGGAACUUCUGCCUCCUUUCAGGGGGCACAGAAUGUGGCCCUGUACACAGGCGACCCCAACCUGGGGCUGGAGCUGUUUGAGGCAGCUGGAGACAUCUUCUUCAACGGGGCCUGGGAGCGGGAGAAAGCCGUGUCCUUCUACCGGGACCGGGCCCUGCCCCUGGCAGUGACUACGGGCAACUGCAAGGCGGAGCUGCGGCUGUGCAACAAGCUGGUGGCACUGCUGUCCACGCUGGAGGAGCCCCAGGAGGGCUUGGAGUUUGCCCACAUGGCCCUAGCACUCAGCAUCACUCUGGGGGACCGGCUGAACGAGCGCGUGGCCUACCACUGGCUGGCCGCCCUCCACCACCGGCUGGGCCACGGCGAGCUGGCGGAGCACUUCUACCUCAAGGCCCUGUCGCUCUGCAACUCACCGCUGGAGUUCGACAAGGAGACCCUCUACUACGUGAAGGUGUACCUGGUGCUCGGUGACAUCAUCUUCCACGACCUGAAGGACCCGUUCGAUGCAGCCAGGUACUACCAGCUGGCACUGGCAGCCGCCGUGGACCUGGGAAACAAGAAAGCACAGCUGAAGAUCUACACGCGGCUGGCCACCAUCUACCACAACUUCCUCCUGGACCGCGAGAAGUCGCUCUUCUUCUACCAGAAGGCCAGGACCUUCGCCACAGAGCUCAACGUCCGCAGGGUCAACCUGCCUCCUCUGCCACUCUGCGGGUGGGCCCCCUUAGGUUGGCCCCCAGCCACCCUCGCUGAGGACAGCAUCCGAGGGAGUGGGUUUUGUGCAAGGAGGAUGGUCUCCUGCCUCUCCUGGUGUCUCCCGUGGCUCAUUUUCUGGGAAAUGGAGGCAUGAAAGCAGCGUUCAAAUAGCAAUAAUUUUUUUUUUUUUUUUUUUGCAAUAACAUACCGAAGUCCCCAGCGCAUCCUUCCCUGGUGUGCUUCUGGGGUGUGUCUAGGGGCCAGCUCUUUCCCUGGUGGCAACCCUCUGAUCUUGGGGAUGAGAAGGACCCUGAGUCCAACAGACCUGGGCCAGGUCACCAUGAGCCUCGGUUUCCUUGGCUGCCAGAGGGGAGAUGGUGGUGGAACUCCCUGGGUAGUUCCCUGCUCAGAGCUUUUGCUGUAGCUCUCGUGCCACCCUUGCCUUUAAUCUUCAGGCCACUGUGCCCGGAUGUGGGGGCUGCUAGUGCCCUUGUUUGCCAUUGAAGAAGUAGAGGCACAGAGAGGUUAGGUGUCUGGCCCACCGUCACACAGCAGGUAGGGGCGGAGACGCAGAGCCCAGUACACUGACCACCACACCACCCUGUCAGCCUGCUGCCAGGAAGGUGUCCCCAUUAGGACCCAAGGUCAGCUCCUGGACCUCUCUUGUGGUGUCAGGAGAGCCACAGGCCAGUGAGGGUGGCCCCGAGGAUCCCUCACUCAGUGUCCUCUGCUCCCAGACUUGGCUGGGCCGAGCCUGGCCAGUCCCACCUCUGGCCACUGGUCAGCCCUCCGGGAAGUGAGAUGCAGAGAUGUACACAGACUGCCUGAGUAGAUGCUGCUGCCCAGUGUUGAAAGUCUUAUCUGGGCUGACCCCCAGCCGUCCCCACAUACCCCUCCCCUUCCGGCCCCCGGCCCUCAUCCCAGUCCCAGGAGUCCCAGGUUUCCUUCUUGGAAUCUCUUGGCCCCCGGGAACACGGCUCACACGGUCUCUUUGCCAGUUUACGGCAAGGAAACCGAGGUUCCGAGACUGUGGGUGUCCCACGUGAUUCUCACAUACACUGCACUCUCCCAGGCCCCUCUUUUAAACACUUUAAAUGAGGUGACAUUCACAUCGCAUGCAAUUACCUAUUUCAACGCAAAUAAUGUGGUGGCAUUUGUGCAUUCACAGUCUGUGCAACCACUCACGCCAUCUAGUUUCAAAAUGUAUUCUCUCCCCAGAAGAAACCUCCCAUCCUCACUAAGCAGUUACCCCUCCUUGGUAUCCCCAAGCCCCUCGUUUAAUGGAAGGGAACUGAGGCCCGGAGAGAGACUUGCAUGGGCGGAGCUCUGAUAAUAAGGAAUCAGGCACCCAUCUGCUGUUCAGCCUGGGUUGGUUUUCCACCAGCAGAAGUGACAGAGCCAGGGAGGUUCUGGGACCCCAUGCUUGCAGCCAGAGCCCUGCCCGAGCCUCCCCACCAGGGGGCAGCAGAGAACUUUCCAGAACCGGCCGCGGGGCUGGCGGGAAGCAGCGGGUCAGACUGCUGACAAACCUCACGUGGACCCCAGAUCGCUGUCUCUGUGGGUUGGGUUUGGGAAUUGGAGGGAGCCGCAUGAUUGGAAACGUGAAGACAGCACGGCCUGGCUGGAGCAGCCGGAAGCGCCGUCACGUUGACUGAGGACACAGACCUCCUGCCGCUGGGCGGGCCUGCAGCCAUUCUUCUGGGGUGGGCCCGUAGGUCCGGGUUCUCUU